rnacentral:rRNA from 1 species
AUUGAACGCUGGCGGCAGGCCUAACACAUGCAAGUCGAGCGAGCGGCGGACGGGUGAGUAAUGUCUGGGAAACUGCCUGAUGGAGGGGGAUAACUACUGGAAACGGUAGCUAAUACCGCAUACCCUCAGAUGUGCCCAGAUGGGAUUAGCUAGUAUGUGGGGUCACGGCUCACCGUGGCGACGAUCCCUAGCCGGUCUGAGAGGAUGACCGGCCACACGGGACCUGAGGCACGGGCCAGACUCCUACGGGAGGCAGCAGUGGGGAAUAGUGCACAAUGGGCGCAAGCCUGAGGCAGCCAGGCCGCGUGUAUGAAGAAGGCCUUCGGGUUGUAAAGUACUUUCAGCGGGGAGGCGUUACCCGCAGAAGAAGCACCGGCUAACUCCGUGCCAGCAGCCGCGGUAAUAC